rfam:Alkaliphilus metalliredigens QYMF, complete genome.
AGAAUGUAAAGGCAAACCAUUGCAAACAAUGGGACGCAAAGCCAGGAACCUAAAGUGUGUUAUAAAAAAAUAUACCAAGAUCGUCCGACUGCCAUA